rfam:Helianthus annuus linkage group 13, whole genome shotgun sequence.
GGGAGGUGAUGAGUGGUCAUUGCUUGCACAUAAACUUGCGAGAUGGGGUGUCCGCCCAGGGCAUCUUUAAUCUUAAACCAUCUGAUCCC